rnacentral:rRNA from 1 species
UACGAAGGGUGCAAGCGUUAAUCGGAAUUACUGGGCGUAAAGGGCGCGUAGGCGGCCUCUGCAAGUCGACUGUGAAAUCUCCGGGCUUAACCCGGAAAGGUCAGCCGAUACUGCAGGGCUAGAGUGCAGAAGGGGCAACUGGAAUUCUCGGUGUAGCGGUGAAAUGCGUAGAUAUCGAGAGGAACACCUGCGGCGAAGGCGGGUUGCUGGGCUGACACUGACGCUGAGGCGCGAAAGCUAGGGGAGCGAACGGG